rnacentral:rRNA from 1 species
GUAGGUGGCAAGCGUUGUCCGGAAUUAUUGGGCGUAAAGCGCGCGCAGGCGGGGUCCUUUAAGUCUGAUGUGAAAAGCCCACGGGCUCAACCGUGGAGGGUCAUUGGAAACUGGGGGACUUGAGUACAGAAGAGGAGAGCGGAAUUCCAAGUGUAGCGGUGAAAUGCGUAGAGAUUUGGAGGAACACCAGUGGCGAAGGCGGCUUUCUGGUCUGUAACUGACGCUGAGGCGCGAAAGCGUGGGGAGCAAACAGGAUUAGAUACCCUGGUAGUCCACGCCGUAAACGAUGAGUGCUAAGUGUUAGGGGGUUUCCGCCCCUUAGUGCUGCAGCUAACGCAUUAAGCACUCCGCCUGGGGAGUACGGCCGCAAGGCUG